rnacentral:rRNA from 1 species
UACAGAGGGUGCGAGCGUUAAUCGGAAUUAUUGGGCGUAAAGAGCUCGUAGGCGGUUUGUCGCGUCUGCCGUGAAAGUCCGGGGCUCAACUCCGGAUCUGCGGUGGGUACGGGCAGACUAGAGUGAUGUAGGGGAGACUGGAAUUCCUGGUGUAGCGGUGAAAUGCGCAGAUAUCAGGAGGAACACCGAUGGCGAAGGCAGGUCUCUGGGCAUUAACUGACGCUGAGGAGCGAAAGCAUGGGGAGCGAACAGG